rnacentral:rRNA from 1 species
ACCCCAGACUCCUACGGGAGGCAGCAGUGGGGGAUAUUGCACAAUGGGGGGAACCCUGAUGCAGCGACGCCGCGUGGGUGAAGAAGCGCCUCGGCGCGUAAAGCCCUGUCAGCAGGGAAGAAAAUGACGGUACCUGAAGAAGAAGCCCCGGCUAACUACGUGCCAGCAGCCGCGGGAAUACGUAGGGGGCAAGCGUUAUCCGGAUUUACUGGGUGUAAAGGGGGCGCAGACGGCGAUGCAAGCCAGGAGUGAAAGCCCGGGGCCCAACCCCGGGACUGCGCUUGGAACUGCGUGGCUGGAGUGCAGGAGGGGCAGGCGGAAUUCCUGGUGUAGCGGUGAAAUGCGUAGAUAUCAGGAGGAACACCGGUGGCGAAGGCGGCCUGCUGGACUGCAACUGACGUUGAGGCCCGAAAGCGUGGGGAGCAAACAGGAUUAGAUACCCGAGUAGC